rnacentral:SRP_RNA from 1 species
CGCAACGUGACAACGCCCAAUCCCGUCAGGACCGGAAGGUAGCAGCGGUAAGCGCCUGAAGCGUGUGCCGUGGGAGCGCCUGGCCGGA